rnacentral:rRNA from 1 species
GGGAUGAGCUCAAAUUUGAAAUCUGGCGUCUUUCAGGCGUCCGAGUUGUAAUCUAUAGAGGCGUUUUCCGCGCCGGACCGCGUCCAAGUCUCUUGGAAUAGAGUAUCAAAGAGGGUGACAAUCCCGUACUUGACGCGACAACCGGUGCUCUGUGAUACGUUCUCAAUGAGUCGAGUUGUUUGGGAAUGCAGCUCUAAAUGGGUGGUAAAUUCCAUCUAAGGCUAAAUAUUGGCGAGAGACCGAUAGCGAACAAGUACCGUGAGGGAAAGAUGAAAAGCACUUUGGAAAGAGAGUUAAACAGCACGUGAAAUUGUUAAAAGGGAAACGAUUGAAGUCAGUCGUGUGGGAAGUAUUCAGCCGUCUCUGGCGGUGUAUUUGCUUCUCACGGGUCAACAUCAGUUUGAUCCGGUAGAAAAAGGCGGGAAGAAGGUGGCACCCUCGGGUGUGUUAUAGCUUCCUGUCAUAUGUGCCGGACCAGACUGAGGAACGCAGCUUGCAGCAAUGCCGGGGUUCGCCCACGUACAAGCUUAGGAUGUUGACAUAAUGGCUUUAAACGACCCGUCUUGA